rnacentral:lncRNA from 1 species
GACUCUUCCUGGGUCUGAGGAAAAGUAAAAGUAAUUUUGUCAUUUCCUGAAACUUCAAGUUAAACCUUUAAGCUGUUCAUUUCCUAAAAGGGUGAAAACGCGGGCACCCCUCGAGCUAGUUCAUCGCCUUUUAACCUAAAAAAAGUAUACUCAUGAGCAAGAAAGAAAACAAACAACAAACAAAAUGAAGUAGGAAACUCAAUGUUAACAGCUUAACACAGAAAGCCACUACAACAAUGAACAAAAAUUGCAAGUUAAUGAUAAAGUAAUGUAGAAACAAAAUUACAGACUACUAAAAACAUGGGAUUGCCAGUUGUUCAGAAAUUCCACAGAUGGAUCGUGAGUGGUUGUUGGAUCUUUCCAGAUCACCACACCACAUCACCCAGCCACUCUGCCCAAUGGGAGGGCAGACAGUGUUCCAGUGUAGGAGGAAGGGGUGUAAGGUGCGGGCAGUUUGUGAGGAGGGCACCAACGAGAGCUACUGUGAGAAAGUCUGCAUGGUCAAAAAGUGGAUUACCAAGAACAAAGCAUCAUAAUGUUGUCCAGUGGACCCCAGAAAACUGACAACUGUUUAGAACAAAGCCAAAGAUGAAACCAAAUAUAAAACCACUGAUGAAAACUAAGUGAAAAAUAUAAGCAAAAUAGAAGAAAAAUAAGGUCGUUAUUUCAAGAAAACGAAAGACAGUCAAUGCUGUUCUUUGUAUUCACAUACAAUUUGGUUCACACCAAAAUGUGAGUUGUUCUCUAUGAGAUGUUAUUAAAUGUUCCUAAGAAGACUCGCUUUAGAAAAAAACAGUAUUCCUAAGGCAUGUCCAAUCUGUCUCUUUUCUUAAUUGCUAUAGUUCUACUUUAUUAUUAUAAUGUAUUCAGCAUUAAAAUUCAUUAUUUCCCAAUAAGCUUGACUUUAUCUUAUAAUGAAAUACAACUGUCUUCUUGGUGAUUUUUAUAGGAGAUAUUAUGGAAAUAUUUUAUUAACAGAAGUAAAUAAAGUGUCAUAUCAUUUGGCUUUUCAGCCGUGUUA